rnacentral:rRNA from 1 species
CUGCAGCUCAAGUGGUGAUCAUUAUUAUUGGGCCUAAAACGUCCGUAGCCUGUUUAGUAAAUGCCUGGGUAAAUCGUGUAGCUUAACUAUACGAAUUCCGGGUAGACUGCUAGACUUGGGACCGGGAGAGGCUAGAGGUACUCCUGGGGUAGAGGUGAAAUUCUGUAAUCCUAGGGGGACCACCAGUGGCGAAGGCGUCUAGCUAGAACGGGUCUGACGGUGAGGGACGAAGCCCUGGGGCGCAAACCGGAUUAGAUACCCGUGUAGUCC